rnacentral:rRNA from 1 species
AAUCCAUAGGUUAAUGAGGCGAACCGGGGGAACUGAAACAUCUAAGUACCCCGAGGAAAAGAAAUCAACCGAGAUUCCCCCAGUAGCGGCGAGCGAACGGGGAGGAGCCCAGAGCCUGAAUCAGCAUGUGUGUUAGUGGAAGCGUCUGGAAAGGCGCGCGAUACAGGGUGACAGCCCCGUACACAAAAGCGCAUGUGCUGUGAGCUCGAUGAGUAGGGCGGGACACGUGGUAUCCUGUCUGAAUAUGGGGGGACCAUCCUCCAAGGCUAAAUACUCCUGACUGACCGAUAGUGAACCAGUACCGUGAGGGAAAGGCGAAAAGAACCCCGGCGAGGGGAGUGAAAAAGAACCUGAAACCGUGUACGUACAAGCAGUGGGAGCACAGGUUUACCUGUGUGACUGCGUACCUUUUGUAUAAUGGGUCAGCGACUUAUAUUCUGUAGCAAGGUUAACCGAAUAGGGGAGCCGGAGGGAAACCGAGUCUUAAUUGGGCGUUAAGUUGCAGGGUAUAGACCCGAAACCCGGUGAUCUAGCCAUGGGCAGGUUGAAGGUUGGGUAACACUAACUGGAGGACCGAACCGACUAAUGUUGAAAAAUUAGCGGAUGACCUGUGGCUGGGGGUGAAAGGCCAAUCAAACCGGGAGAUAGCUGGUUCUCCCCGAAAGCUAUUUAGGUAGCGCCUCGUGAAUUCAUCUCCGGGGGUAGAGCACUGUUUCGGCUAGGGGGCCAUCCCGGCUUACCAACCCGAUGCAAACUGCGAAUACCGGAGAAUGUUAUCACGGGAGACACACGGCGGGUGCUAACGUCCGUCGUGAAGAGGGAAACAACCCAGACCGCCAGCUAAGGUCCCAAAGUCAUGGUUAAGUGGGAAACGAUGUGGGAAGGCCCAGACAGCCAGGAUGUUGGCUUAGAAGCAGCCAUCAUUUAAAGAAAGCGUAAUAGCUCACUGGUCGAGUCGGCCUGCGCGGAAGAUGUAACGGGGCUAAACCAUGCACCGAAGCUGCGGCAGCGACACUCAGGUGUUGUUGGGUAGGGGAGCGUUCUGUAAGCCUGCGAAGGUGGCCUGUGAGGGUUGCUGGAGGUAUCAGAAGUGCGAAUGCUGACAUAAGUAACGAUAAAGCGGGUGAAAAGCCCGCUCGCCGGAAGACCAAGGGUUCCUGUCCAACGUUAAUCGGGGCAGGGUGAGUCGACCCCUAAGGCGAGGCCGAAAGGCGUAGUCGAUGGGAAACGGGUUAAUAUUCCCGUACUUGGUGUUACUGCGAAGGGGGGACGGAGAAGGCUAUGUUGGCCGGGCGACGGUUGUCCCGGUUUAAGCGUGUAGGUGUGUGUUCCAGGUAAAUCCGGUUCACUUUAACACUGAGGCGUGACGAC